AAUGUUGAAAAAUUAGCGGAUGACUUGUGGCUGGGGGUGAAAGGCCAAUCAAACCGGGAGAUAGCUGGUUCUCCCCGAAAGCUAUUUAGGUAGCGCCUCGUGAAUUCAUCUUCGGGGGUAGAGCACUGUUUCGGCUAGGGGGUCAUCCCGACUUACCAACCCGAUGCAAACUACGAAUACCGAAGAAUGUUAUCACGGGAGACACACGG
rnacentral:rRNA from 1 species